GAUGAACGCUGGCGGCGUGCCUAAUACAUGCAAGUCGAGCGAACGGACGAGAAGCUUGCUUCUCUGAUGUUAGCGGCGGACGGGUGAGUAACACGUGGAUAACCUACCUAUAAGACUGGGAUAACUUCGGGAAACCGGAGCUAAUACCGGAUAAUAUUUUGAACCGCAUGGUUCAAAAGUGAAAGACGGUCUUGCUGUCACUUAUAGAUGGAUCCGCGCUGCAUUAGCUAGUUGGUAAGGUAACGGCUUACCAAGGCAACGAUGCAUAGCCGACCUGAGAGGGUGAUAGGCCACACUGGAACUGAGACACGGUCCAGACUCCUACGAGAGGCAGCAGUAGGGAAUCUUCCGCAAUGGGCGAAAGCCUGACGGAGCAACGCCGCGUGAGUGAUGAAGGUCUUCGGAUCGUAAAACUCUGUUAUUAGGGAAGAACAUAUGUGUAAGUAACUGUGCACAUCUUGACGGUACCUAAUCAGAAAGCCACGGCUAACUACGUG
rnacentral:rRNA from 1 species